GACGAACGCUGGCGGCGUGCUUAACACAUGCAAGUCGAGCGGCGCGGUGGAAGGGUGGGUAACGCGUGAGUAACUGCCCCCCUCUCUGGGAUAACAGUUGGAAACGGCUGCUAAUACCGGCUAGUGGGGGAUGCCUCGGGGCCUAUUAGCUUGUUGGUGGGGUAGUGGCCUACCAAGGCGACGACGGGUAGCCGGCCUGAGAGGGCGACCGGCCACAUUGGGCUGAGAUACGGCCCAAGCUCCAACGGGAGGCAGCGGGGGGGAGUAUUGCACAGUAGGGGAAAGUCUGAUGCAGCAGCGCCGGGUGCGGAAUGCCGGCCUUCGGGUUGUAAACCGCUUUCAGCCAUGACGCGGUAGUGGCAGAAGAAGCACCGGCUAACUACGUGCCAGCAGCCGCGGUAAUUC
rnacentral:rRNA from 1 species